AAUACAGUUUCCACCAUUUGACACUGAAUUGCUUCCUGACUGACCCUUUUACAUUUCUCACCAGCACUUGGGGAAACUGUUAAAACUAUGCUGCCUUGGCUGACAAGGUCAUGGAAAAUGUCUCUGUCAACUUUUGUCCCUGUUGCAUCUUUUUAUUCUACUUUUGCGUCAGGUGGCAGGCAAAACCUCUCCAUGACUGGAAAAGAUGACAUAUCGUAGAGCACCUUUUUAAGCCAGCAUUAUUCUCACUUCACAAAUGAUUAAACUCAUUUGGAUUAAACCACUUACGCAAAAUAAAUUCAAUCAAUCGAAAGUUUAAAAACCUUUUUUUUCAUGAAAUUGCAUUGAAACCAAACUGUCCUUCAACAUCCUCCACCUUUACAUAUUUCUGCUGUUGACUGCAGUCAACGUGAAGCAGUAAUUUACUGAGCCAUACAAAAAAUAGGAAACAUAAUGACAGUACCGAUAAUAAGCAUUUAAUAGGAUACAACUUAAACAAUUCAAGGUAAAAUUAAAAAGUCAUUUGAACACAAUAAACCGAUAUCAACCAUACACUAUACACUACAGAGUAUUGAAACAUUUAAAACGCAUGUUGUGGAUUCCAGAAUAUAGUGUGUGAGCCAGGUAAUAUGCACAUUCAACUAUGUAAACACCUGGUCUGGUAUAUGUUAGGACGAGCCUUCCAUAAAAGAACAAGAAAUAAACAGAGAAAAAUAAAAGCGGGUGGCCAUGUUGGCACUGCUAACAUGGCAAUCAAGACUUACCUCCGUCACUCAAGGUUUACCAGCCGAGACAAUCUGAAGCUGAAGAGCAACACCAAUAGACCUACCGGAGUUAGAUUCUAAUAUUUAGUUAUCUUUAUAAUGUGUUGUAGGGAUUGAUUAAAGCAAGUGUCAUGGUGCCUCUGUCAGCUAUCUUCCCCCUCCCCUCUCUGCUUGGCCACUGAUUCGUCCCAGCUGCGUUCACUCAUCUCAUCAACCUGCCAGACCUUCUUAAGGAGCGCCAGGACCAGAAUUCAACGCUAGUUCGUUGCCCCUGAUGGACCUACAUAUCCCACGAGUGGACGCCAGCUUCAGCUUCAGCCCAAGCGGAGUUAUCCCCGGAGUUACCUACCUCCUCUCAACGCUCCAUACAUCAGGCCACAGCUCUAGCCUCAGCCGAACCUCCAGCCACGCCACGGGCCACAGUCGAACCUCCAGCCACGUCAAGAUCCACCCUCUCAUCUGGAGUUGCCGUUCCUGCCAUUCCCCGCCACAACAGGACAAAUUCAUCCGCUGGAAAAAUUAAAUCUAUUAUUUACCUUC